rnacentral:ncRNA from 14 species
UUGAAUAUCAAACACGUUUGAUAUUUGAUAUCCAUGUGGUAUCCCUAUGAAUUUGCAACACCCUCGCAGCAUUCAUAGAACCUCUUCUACACGUCGACAAGAAGCAAUUCUUGUAUUUAUGCCAGCCCUUCUUCAGGCUGGCUUUUUUUAUG